AGUGGCGGACGGGUGAGUAACACGUAGGUAACCUGCCCCGGAGCGGGGGAUAACAUUUGGAAACAGAUGCUAAUACCGCAUAACAACAAGAGCCACAUGGCUUUUGUUUGAAAGAUGGCUUUGGCUAUCACUCUGUGAUGGACCUGCGGUGCAUUAGCUAGUUGGUAAGGUAACGGCUUACCAAGGCGAUGAUGCAUAGCCGAGUUGAGAGACUGAUCGGCCACAAUGGAACUGAGACACGGUCCAUGCUCCUACGGGAGGCAGCAGUAGGGAAUCUUCCACAAUGGGCGCAAGCCUGAUGGAGCAACACCGCGUGAGUGAAGAAGGGUUUCGGCUCGUAAAGCUCUGUUGUUGGAGAAGAACGUGCGUGAGAGUAACUGUUCACGCAGUGACGGUAUCCAACCAGAAAGUCACGGCUAACUACGUGCCAGCAGCCGCGGUAAUACGUAGGUGGCAAGCGUUAUCCGGAUUUAUUGGGCGUAAAGCGAGCGCAGGCGGUUGCUUAGGUCUGAUGUGAAAGCCUUCGGCUUAACCGAAGAAGUGCAUCGGAAACCGGGCAACUUGAGUGCAGAAGGGGACAGUGGAACUCCAUGUGUAGCGGUGGAAUGCGUAGAUAUGUGGAAGAACACCAGUGGCGAAGGCGGCUGUCUGGUCUGCAACUGACGCUGAGGCUCGAAAGCAUGGGUAGCGAACAGGAUUAGAUACCCUGGUAGUCCAUGCCGUAAACGAUGAGUGCUAGGUGU
rnacentral:rRNA from 1 species